AGACACCUACGGGAGGCAGCAGUAGGGAAUCUUCCACAAUGGACGAAAGUCUGAUGGAGCAACGCCGCGUGAGUGAAGAAGGGUUUCGGCUCGUAAAGCUCUGUUGGUAGUGAAGAAAGAUAGAGGUAGUAACUGGCCUUUAUUUUACGGUAAUUACUUAGAAAGUCACGGCUAACUACGUGCCCGCAGCCGCGGUAAUACGUAGGUGGCAAGCGUUGUCCGGAUUUAUUUGGCGUAAAGCGAGUGCAGGCGGUUCCAUUAAUCU
rnacentral:rRNA from 1 species